UACGGAAGGGGCAAGCGUUGUUCGGAAUCAUUGGGCGUAAAGGGCGCGUAGGUGGUUUUGUAUGUCUACCGUGAAAGCGUACGGCUCAACCGUAUUUAGUCGGUAGAAACUGCAGGACUUGAGGCUGGGAGGGGCUGGUGGAAUUCCCUGUGUAGCGGUGAAAUGCGUAGAGAUGGGGGAGAACACUCGUGGCGAAGGCGGCCAGCUGGACCAGUUCUGACACUGAGGCGCGAUAGCGUGGGGAGCAAACAGG
rnacentral:rRNA from 1 species